rnacentral:rRNA from 1 species
CAGUAGCCGCGGUAAAACGGAGGGUGCAAGCGUUAAUCGGAAUUACUGGGCGUAAAGCGCACGCAGGCGGUCUGACAAGUCAGAUGUGAAAUCCCCGGGCUUAACCUGGGAACUGCAUUUGAAACUGUCAGGCUGGAGUCUUGUAGAGGGGGGUGGAAUUCCAGGUGUAGCGGUGAAAUGCGUAGAGAUCUGGAGGAAUACCGGUGGCGAAGGCGGCCCCCUGGACAAAGACUGACGCUCAGGUGCGAAAGCGUGGGGAGCAAACAGGAUUAGAUACCCGUGUAGUCCCUGUCUCUUAUAC